rnacentral:rRNA from 1 species
UAUUCUGACCGUGCAAAGGUAGCAUAAUCACUUGUUCUCCAAAUAAGGACUUGUAUGAAUGGCCACACGAGGGUUUUACUGUCUCUUACUUCCAAUCAGUGAAAUUGACCUUCCCGUGAAGAGGCGGGAAUAAAAAAAUAAGACGAGAAGACCCUAUGGAGCUUUAAUUAACUAUUCCAAAAGUUAAACAAUUCAACCACAAAGGGAUAAAACAUAACUUAACAUGGACUAGCAAUUUCGGUUGGGGUGACCUCGGAGUACAAAAAACCCUCCGAGUGAUUUUAAUCUAGACAAACCAGUCAAAAUAACCAUAACAUCACUUAUUGAUCCAAAACUUUGAUCAACGGAACAAGUUACCCUAGGGAUAACAGCGCAAUCCUAUUCUAGAGUUCCUAUCGACAAUAGGGUUUACGACCUCGAUGUUGGAUCAGGACACCCAAAUGGUGCAACCGCUAUUAAAGGUUCGUUUGUUCAACGAUUAAAGUCCUACGUGAUCUGAGUUCCAAACCGGGAGA